rnacentral:sRNA from 1 species
UUCGUCGCCGUCAAGCCAUACCAACCCCAAGUGGACGGCGAGAUCCCCCUUCACCGUGGCGACAGGGUCAAAGUUCUGAGCAUCGGCGAAGGGGGCUUCUGGGAAGGCAGCGCCCGCGGCCACAUCGGAUGGUUUCCGGCGGAGUGCGUGGAGGAGGUCCAGUGUAAGCCCAGGGACAGCCAGGCAGAAACCCGCGCUGACCGCAGCAAGAAGCUUUUCAGGCACUACACCGUGGGCUCCUAUGACAGCUUCGACACUUCCAGUGACUGCAUUAUUGAGGAGAAGACGGUGGUCCUGCAGAAAAAAGACAAUGAGGGCUUUGGAUUCGUGCUUCGAGGGGCCAAAGCUGACACACCCAUUGAAGAAUUCACACCAACACCGGCGUUCCCAGCCCUACAGUACCUGGAGUCCGUGGAUGAAGGUGGGGUGGCGUGGCAAGCCGGACUAAGGACUGGGGACUUCUUGAUUGAGAUGUUUCUCUCAGAUUUCCUAGAAUCGAAGUAUUCAUAUUUUGAAAAGUAUCCAUUUCAUACAUAGGAAAGUGUGUCUUAGAAGAAAGUUAUCUCACAGAGGAGACAAAUGUCCAGCCCCGUUGGCACAGAUAGUGCUGUUUGCUGUCAGAGGAAAAAGCCUUCCUGGGCAUCAAUUAAUUUCCCGGGGCCAUUCCUUACCUGCCUGCUGCAGGGCUCUGACGACGCCUAUGGUUUUUGUGAUUGUUUUCUUGGCCCUGAAGUGGCCAAUCUCAUUUUUGUGUUAAUUUCU